rnacentral:rRNA from 1 species
UACGAAGGGGGCUAGCGUUGCUCGGAAUCACUGGGCGUAAAGGGUGCGUAGGCGGGUCUUUUAAGUCAGGGGUGAAAUCCUGGAGCUCAACUCCAGAACUGCCUUUGAUACUGAGGAUCUUGAGUUCGGGAGAGGUGAGUGGAACUGCGAGUGUAGAGGUGAAAUUCGUAGAUAUUCGCAAGAACACCAGUGGCGAAGGCGGCUCACUGGCCCGAUACUGACGCUGAGGCACGAAAAGCGUGGGGAGCAAACAGG